UACGUUUUAGUGUAUGGUGCACAGGAAUUUUUGAUAUUCUUAGGAAUAGUUUAAAUCUAUUGAAUGUAA
rnacentral:tRNA from 1 species